rnacentral:rRNA from 1 species
AUUGAACGCUGGCGGCAUGCCUUACACAUGCAAGUCGAACGGCAGCACGGGAGCAAUCCUGGUGGCGAGUGGCGAACGGGUGAGUAAAGUAUCGGAACGUGCCCAGUCGUGGGGGAUAACGUAGCGAAAGUUACGCUAAUACUGCAUACGAUCUAUGGAUGAAAGCGGGGGAUCGCAAGACCUCGCGCGAUUGGAGCGGCCGAUAUCAGAUUAGGUAGUUGGUGGGGUAAAGGCACACCAAGCCGACGAUCUGUAGCUGGUCUGAGAGGACGACCAGCCACACUGGGACUGAGACACGGCCCAGACUCCUGCGGGAGGCAGCAGUGGGGAAUUUUGGACAAUGGGCGAAAGCCUGAUCCAGCCAUGCCGCGUGCAGGAUGAAGGCCUUCGGGUUGUAAACUGCUUUUGUACGGAACGAAAAGGUUUGGGCUAAUAAGCUGAGCUCAUGACGGUACCGUAAGAAUAAGCACCGGCUAACUACGUGCCAGCCGCCGCCGUAA